GGAGCUGGGAGGGACCAUUGGGGCACAUCCACUCCCACUGUGGUCUCCACACCCAGCAGCCCAAGUUUGCCACUGUGAGAGCUCCGAAUGUUCUCCUUUUUUUCUCCCUCCUGAAGGCCCUCAGAACUAGAAUGAGUUGGAAGUUCUGUGUGGAAACUUUUUUCUCCUGGAGAACAUCUUCUUUAGUGAAAUGGAAUACAUUAGAAUUCAUUGCAGCUCUGUGCUUCAGGAGCAAGCUGGUUGUUUAGCUGUAGCUCCGUACUGCUGAAGGAGCAUCUCUAAGGGCAGAGGGUACAGCGGUUGCUUCGUGUGACGUCCUGAUUUCAAGGGAGAUUUCUGUGCUCUGUCCUUUGAAGGGGCAUUGAGUUCCGAACCGCAGCCAGCCGUGCCUCCGAUCUUCCUGAGGAUGAGUCACAGAGCGAGG